rnacentral:tRNA from 2 species
CGGGGUGUGGCUCAGUUGGCUUAGAGCAUCCGGUUUGGGACCGGAGGGUCGUUGGUUCGAAUCCAAUCACCCCGA